rnacentral:rRNA from 1 species
GGUUAAGUUAGAAAGGGCGCACGGUGGAUGCCUUGACACUAGGAGUCGAUGAAGGACGGGACUAACGCCGAUAUGCUUCGGGGAGCUGUAAGUAAGCUUUGAUCCGAAGAUUUCCGAAUGGGGAAACCCACCAUACGUAAUGGUAUGGUAUCCUUAUCUGAAUACAUAGGGUAAGGAAGACAGACCCAGGGAACUGAAACAUCUAAGUACCUGGAGGAAGAGAAAGCAAAUGCGAUUUCCUGAGUAGCGGCGAGCGAAACGGAACAUAGCCCAAACCAAGAGGCUUGCCUCUUGGGGUUGUAGGACAUUCUAUACGGAGUUACAAAGGAACGAGGUAGACGAAGCGACCUGGAAAGGUCCGUCGUAGAGGGUAACAACCCCGUAGUCGAAACUUCGUUCUCUCUUGAAUGUAUCCUGAGUACGGCGGAACACGUGAAAUUCCGUCGGAAUCUGGGAGGACCAUCUCCCAAGGCUAAAUACUCCCUAGUGAUCGAUAGUGAACCAGUACCGUGAGGGAAAGGUGAAAAGCACCCCGGAAGGGGAGUGAAAGAGAUCCUGAAACCGUGUGCCUACAAAUAGUCAGAGCCCGUUAAUGGGUGAUGGCGUGCCUUUUGUAGAAUGAACCGGCGAGUUACGAUCCCGUGCGAGGUUAAGCUGAAGAGGCGGAGCCGCAGCGAAAGCGAGUCUGAAUAGGGCGUUUAGUACGUGGUCGUAGACCCGAAACCAGGUGAUCUACCCAUGUCCAGGGUGAAGUUCAGGUAACACUGAAUGGAGGCCCGAACCCACGCACGUUGAAAAGUGCGGGGAUGAGGUGUGGGUAGCGGAGAAAUUCCAAUCGAACCUGGAGAUAGCUGGUUCUCCCCGAAAUAGCUUUAGGGCUAGCCUUAAGUGUAAGAGUCUUGGAGGUAGAGCACUGAUUGGACUAGGGGUCCUCAUCGGAUUACCGAAUUCAGUCAAACUCCGAAUGCCAAUGACUUAUCCUUAGGAGUCAGACUGCGAGUGAUAAGAUCCGUAGUCAAAAGGGAAACAGCCCAGACCGCCAGCUAAGGUCCCAAAGUGUGUAUUAAGUGGAAAAGGAUGUGGAGUUGCUUAGACAACUAGGAUGUUGGCUUAGAAGCAGCCACCAUUUAAAGAGUGCGUAAUAGCUCACUAGUCGAGUGACUCUGCGCCGAAAAUGUACCGGGGCUAAAUACACCACCGAAGCUGCGGAUUGAUACCAAUGGUAUCAGUGGUAGGGGAGCGUUCUAAGGACAGUGAAGUCAGACCGGAAGGACUGGUGGAGUGCUUAGAAGUGAGAAUGCCGGUAUGAGUAGCGAAAGACGGGUGAGAAUCCCGUCCACCGAAUGCCUAAGGUUUCCUGAGGAAGGCUCGUCCGCUCAGGGUUAGUCAGGACCUAAGCCGAGGCCGACAGGCGUAGGCGAUGGACAACAGGUUGAUAUUCCUGUACCACCUCUUUAUCGUUUGAGCAAUGGAGGGACGCAGAAGGAUAGAAGAAGCGUGCGAUUGGUUGUGCACGUCCAAGCAGUUAGGCUGAUAAGUAGGCAAAUCCGCUUAUCGUAAAGGCUGAGCUGUGAUGGGGAAGCUCCUUAUGGAGCGAAGUCUUUGAUUCCCCGCUGCCAAGAAAAGCUUCUAGCGAGAUAAAAGGUGCCUGUACCGCAAACCGACACAGGUAGGCGAGGAGAGAAUCCUAAGGUGUGCGAGAGAACUCUGGUUAAGGAACUCGGCAAAAUGACCCCGUAACUUCGGGAGAAGGGGUGCUUUCUUAACGGAAAGCCGCAGUGAAUAGGCCCAAGCGACUGUUUAGCAAAAACACAGCUCUCUGCGAAGCCGUAAGGCGAAGUAUAGGGGGUGACACCUGCCCGGUGCUGGAAGGUUAAGGAGAGGGGUUAGCGUAAGCGAAGCUCUGAACUGAAGCCCCAGUAAACGGCGGCCGUAACUAUAACGGUCCUAAGGUAGCGAAAUUCCUUGUCGGGUAAGUUCCGACCCGCACGAAAGGUGUAACGAUUUGGGCACUGUCUCAACCAGAGACUCGGUGAAAUUAUAGUACCUGUGAAGAUGCAGGUUACCCGCGACAGGACGGAAAGACCCCGUGGAGCUUUACUGUAGCCUGAUAUUGAAUUUUGGUACAGUUUGUACAGGAUAGGCGGGAGCCAUUGAAACCGGAGCGCUAGCUUCGGUGGAGGCGCUGGUGGGAUACCGCCCUGACUGUAUUGAAAUUCUAACCUACGGGUCUUAUCGACCCGGGAGACAGUGUCAGGUGGGCAGUUUGACUGGGGCGGUCGCCUCCUAAAGUGUAACGGAGGCGCCCAAAGGUUCCCUCAGAAUGGUUGGAAAUCAUUCGUAGAGUGCAAAGGCAUAAGGGAGCUUGACUGCGAGACCUACAAGUCGAGCAGGGACGAAAGUCGGGCUUAGUGAUCCGGUGGUUCCGCAUGGAAGGGCCAUCGCUCAACGGAUAAAAGCUACCCCGGGGAUAACAGGCUUAUCUCCCCCAAGAGUCCACAUCGACGGGGAGGUUUGGCACCUCGAUGUCGGCUCAUCGCAUCCUGGGGCUGUAGUCGGUCCCAAGGGUUGGGCUGUUCGCCCAUUAAAGCGGUACGCGAGCUGGGUUCAGAACGUCGUGAGACAGUUCGGUCCCUAUCCGUCGUGGGCGUAGGAAAUUUGAGAGGAGCUGUCCUUAGUACGAGAGGACCGGGAUGGACGCACCGCUGGUGUACCAGUUGUUCUGCCAAGGGCAUAGCUGGGUAGCUAUGUGCGGAAGGGAUAAGUGCUGAAAGCAUCUAAGCAUGAAGCCCCCCUCAAGAUGAGAUUUCCCAUAGCGUAAGCUAGUAAGAUCCCUGAAAGAUGAUCAGGUUGAUAGGUUCGAGGUGGAAGCAUGGUGACAUGUGGAGCUGACGAAUACUAAUAGAUCGAGGACUUAACCAU